rnacentral:misc_RNA from 1 species
CCUCCUUAACGACUUGAGUGCCUGCCCAAGCAGGGACCCACACGUUUGCUUGUCUGUUGUUGUCCGGCAUAAAAGAAGCCGGUAACAAGUGAUUCGUCUGAAUUAUUUGUUACCGGUUUUUUAAUCCGGUCCUGAAGUUCACCUUCGGGAAGCUCUUUAACAAUCUGGGAAAUGAGAAAGUCCAAGUAUUCCAAUGGAAUACAAGCGUUAGAAGUUUAUCUGACACUUGUGUCUAUUUGGUGCGUAUCGUUAAUCGUUGCGGCCGUAUGACUGUUUUGGGUUAUAUGGUCAAGUGACNAANCGUGCACGGUGGAUGCA